UGAGGAAUAUUGGUCAAUGGACGAAAGUCUGAACCAGCCAUGCCGCGUGAAGGAAUAAGGCCCUAUGGGUCGUAAACUUCUUUUGUAUGUGAGCAAUAAGGUCCACGUGUGGACCGAUGAGAGUAGCAUACGAAUAAGCAUCGGCUAACUCCGUGCCAGCAGCCGCGGUAAUACGGAAGGUCCGGGCGUUAUCCGAAUUUAUUGGGUUUAAAGGGAGCGUAGGCCGGAGAUUAAGCGUGUUGUGAAAUGCCGCGGCUCAACCGUGGCACUACAGCGCGAACUGGUUUUCUUGAGUGCGCGCGACGCAGGCGGAAUUCGUGGUGUAGCGGUGAAAUGCUUAGAUAUCACGAGGAACCCCGAUUGCGAAGGCAGCUUGCGGGAGCGCAACUGACGCUGAAGCUCGAAGGUGCGGGUAUCGAACAGGAUUAGAUACCCUGGUAGU
rnacentral:rRNA from 1 species